AGAGUUUGAUCAUGGCUCAGAAUCAACGCUGGCGGCGUGCCUCAGACAUGCAAGUCGAACGAUUAAGACUUCCUUCGGGAAGUGCAUAAAGUGGCGCACGGGUGAGUAACACGUAAGUAAUCUACCUUCGAGUGGGGAAUAACGUCCGGAAACGGACGCUAAUACCGCAUAAUGCAGCGGCAUCGUAAGAUGACAGUUGUUAAAGGAGCAAUUCGCUUGAAGAGGAGCUUGCGGCAGAUUAGCUAGUUGGUAAGGUAAUGGCUUACCAAGGCUACGAUCUGUAACCGGUCUAAGAGGACGGUCGGUCACACUGACACUGAAUAACGGGUCAGACUCCUACGGGAGGCAGCAGUCGGGAAUUUUGGGCAAUGGGCGAAAGCCUGACCCAGCAACGCCGCGUGAAGGAUGAAGUAUUUCGGUAUGUAAACUUCGAAAGAAUAGGAAGAAUCAAUGACGGUACUAUUUAUAAGGUCCGGCUAACUACGUGCCAGCAGCCGCGGUAAUACGUAGGGACCAAGCGUUGUUCGGAUUUACUGGGCGUAAAGGGCGCGUAGGCGGCAUGACAAGUCACUUGUGAAAUCUCCGGGCUUAACUCGGAACGGUCAAGUGAUACUGUCGCGCUAGAGUGCGGAAGGGGCAAUCAGAAUUCUUGGUGUAGCGGUGAAAUGCAGAUAUCAAGAGGAAUACCUGAGGUGAAGACGGGUUGCUAGGCCGACACUGACGCUGAAGCGCGAAAGCCAGGGGAGCAAACGGGAUUAGAUACCCUAGUAGUCC
rnacentral:rRNA from 1 species